rnacentral:rRNA from 1 species
ACGCUGGCGGCGUGCCUAAUACAUGCAAGUCGAACGCACAGCGAAAGGUGCUUGCACCUUUCAAGUGAGUGGCGAACGGGUGAGUAACACGUGGACAACCUGCCUCAAGGCUGGGGAUAACAUUUGGAAACAGAUGCUAAUACCGAAUAAAACUUAGUGUCGCAUGACACAAAGUUAAAAGGCGCUUCGGCGUCACCUAGAGAUGGAUCCGCGGUGCAUUAGUUAGUUGGUGGGGUAAAGGCCUACCAAGACAAUGAUGCAUAGCCGAGUUGAGAGACUGAUCGGCCACAUUGGGACUGAGACACGGCCCAAAUUCCUACGGGAGGCUGCAGUAGGGAAUCUUCCACAAUGGGCGAAAGCCUGAUGGAGCAACGCCGCGUGUGUGAUGAAGGCUUUCGGGUCGUAAAGCACUGUUGUAUGGGAAGAACAGCUAGAAUAGGAAAUGAUUUUAGUUUGACGGUACCAUACCAGAAAGGGACGGCUAAAUACGUGCCAGCAGCCGCGGUAAUACGUAUGUCCCGAGCGUUAUCCGGAUUUAUUGGGCGUAAAGCGAGCGCAGACGGUUUAUUAAGUCUGAUGUGAAAGCCCGGAGCUCAACUCCGGAAUGGCAUUGGAAACUGGUUAACUUGAGUGCAGUAGAGGUAAGUGGAACUCCAUGUGUAGCGGUGGAAUGCGUAGAUAUAUGGAAGAACACCAGUGGCGAAGGCGGCUUACUGGACUGCAACUGACGUUGAGGCUCGAAAGUGUGGGUAGCAAAC